rnacentral:tRNA from 2 species
AGCGGGGUAGAGUGGUUGGUUAACUCGUCAGGCUCAUAAUCUUCGGAUUGCUGGUUCGAAUCCUGCUCCCGCCA